AUUUUAUAGUUGCCAUAGGUUUUUUAAAUACAAUUAAUUAAUGUUUUAAUCAAUUUAAUUUGAAUGGGUCGUUCGAGUUUUCGUCACAAUAACCGGACGGACACUAUAAGCGGCUUCGUUAUAACCGGAUUCUACUGUAUUUCGUCUGCAAAACGAACGCUUCAAGAUUUGCUUGCAGAAUAGAAAAAAAGGGUUUCGGUCUGAGCGCGAGCGAUCUUAUUCAAGAACCCAUAAAACGGUUGCUCUCUGAGUCUUUUCGUAAAGUGUCAGAGAGAGACACUUAUUUGCGGACAACGAGAAACGGUCGACAGUUAUUUGCAAGCUCUGAUGAUGAUGAAAUUAUUGCAAGCAUUUGAGCUGAGAAGUGCAAAGCGGAUCCGCGAUCAAUUAUUAGAUAAUAAAAGAAUAUCAAGCAGUUAGUAUAAUGCAUAGUUCUACAGUGGAAAGCGACAAUGUGCCCAAAGAAGAGGAAUUGGAAAUUAUGACAGAAAAUCUACGUUAUGGAAAUAAUGACAGGGGAAUGCGAAAAAAAGAAGACAAUUUCUUUGUUGUUAUGAUCGAUUCAAUAACUGAGAACCAGUUGAGAAACCUUGCAGCUCCAAAAAAACGAUAUUUUAAAACUCAAGUUGCCUUAAAGUAAUAAAAGUAUCCGACUUAUUAAAAUA